AGAGUUUGAUCAUGGCUCAGAUUGAACGCUGGCGGCAUGCCUUACACAUGCAAGUCGAACGGUAACGCGGGGCAACCUGGCGACGAGUGGCGAACGGGUGAGUAAUGCAUCGGAACGUGCCCAGUAGUGGGGGAUAGCCCGGCGAAAGCCGGAUUAAUACCGCAUACGACCUACGGGUGAAAGCGGGGGAUCGCAAGACCUCGCGCCAUUGGAGCGGCCGAUGUCAGAUUAGGUUGUUGGUGGGGUAAAAGCCUACCAAGCCGACGAUCUGUAGCUGGUCUGAGAGGACGACCAGCCACACUGGGACUGAGACACGGCCCAGACUCCUACGGGAGGCAGCAGUGGGGAAUUUUGGACAAUGGGGGCAACCCUGAUCCAGCCAUGCCGCGUGCGGGAAGAAGGCCUUCGGGUUGUAAACCGCUUUUGUCAGGGAAGAAACGCUUUGAGCUAAUACCUCGAGGUAAUGACGGUACCUGAAGAAUAAGCACCGGCUAACUACGUGCCAGCAGCCCGCGGUAAUACGUAGGGUGCAAGCGUUAAUCGGAAUUACUGGGCGUAAAGCGUGCGCAGGCGGUCGUGCAAGACAGAUGUGAAAUCCCC
rnacentral:rRNA from 1 species